rnacentral:lncRNA from 1 species
CUGGCAUGAAGGACUCCUCUGGUAAACACGUCGUCUCUGGUAAAGGCGUCUCCUCUGGCGAUGGUGACUUUUCCGGCGCGGAUGACUCCUCUGGAGAAGAGGGCUCCUCUGUCAAGAAUGACUUCUCUGGUGCGGAUGACUCCUCUGGCUAGAGUCAUUCCUCUGAUGGAUGAAAUCCUUCUGGUAAAAAUGGUUCUUCUGACCCAUACGGCUCCUCUGAUGAGAGUGAUUCCUCUGAUUUGUACUCUCUCCCUACUCUGCAUAUAUUGCUCCUCACCAACA